rnacentral:rRNA from 1 species
GCGCGAGCAGGUGCGAAAGCAGGUCAUAGUGAUCCGGUGGUUCUGAAUGGAAGGGCCAUCGCUCAACGGAUAAAAGGUACUCCGGGGAUAACAGGCUGAUACCGCCCAAGAGUUCAUAUCGACGGCGGUGUUUGGCACCUCGAUGUCGGCUCAUCACAUCCUGGGGCUGAAGUAGGUCCCAAGGGUAUGGCUGUUCGCCAUUUAAAGUGGUACGCGAGCUGGGUUUAGAACGUCGUGAGACAG